rnacentral:misc_RNA from 1 species
GUGAAUCAUCGAAUUUUUGAACGCAAAUUGCACUCUCUUCGGAAGGCAUGUCUGUUUGAGGGUAACAUUUAACAAAUAAUAUGUAUUUCGUGUGCACACGUUGAUGAGGUUUCCAAAAUUAUGAAUUAUUAUUUUUGGUGGUGCUUAAUAAACAGCGCGAUGCUUUUUUUCAGUUCGAGUGUAGUAAAUUUAUUUCUUGCUUGGUUUAUGAAAAG